CCACUUGAAGAUGAAGAGGUGAUCGCCUAUCUAUUGCGCGGUCUCGGCAGCGAGUACGACUCCCUGGUGACAAGCAUCACCACGCGCACCGACCACUACACCAUCAAUGAUGUGUAUGCUCACAUGUUGAGCUACGAGA